rnacentral:misc_RNA from 1 species
AUAUAUAUCAACCUCUUCAGCUUUUGGUUGUUGAGUGCUGGAUGUGGGGGCUUUUUUGCUGGUCUUUUUAAAGAGGUCAGCUCCCCUAAAAUGUAUUAGCGGAACAAUUUGUUGACCGUUCAUUGGUGUGAUAAUUAUCUACGCUAUUGACGUGAGGCAGUUCAGCUUCUAACAGUCCAUUGACUUGGACAAUUUUCAUUA